rnacentral:rRNA from 1 species
CUUGCUUCUGCUGACGACCGGCGCACGGGUGCGUAACGCGUAUAGAAUCUACCUUGUACUGAGGAAUAGCCUUUGGAAACGAAGAUUAAUGCCUCAUGGUAUAUCGGUUCGGCAUCGAGUUGGUAUUAAAGAUUACGGUAUAAGAUGACUAUGCGUUCUAUUAGCUAGAUGGUGUGGUAACGGCACACCAUGGCGACGAUAGAUAGGGGCCCUGAGAGGGGGAUCCCCCACACUGGUACUGAGACACGGACCAGACUCCUACGGGAGGCAGCAGUGAGGAAUAUUGGACAAUGGAGGCAACUCUGAUCCAGCCAUGCCGCGUGCAGGAAGACUGCCCUAUGGGUUGUAAACUGCUUUUAUACAGGAAGAAACACCUCUACGUGUAGAGACUUGACGGUACUGUAAGAAUAAGGAUCGGCUAACUCCGUGCCAGCAGCCGCGGUAAUACGGAGGAUCCAAGCGUUAUCCGGAAUCAUUGGGUUUAAAGGGUCCGUAGGUGGAUAAUUAAGUCAGAGGUGAAAUCCUGCAGCUCAACUGUAGAAUUGCCUUUGAUACUGGUUAUCUUGAGUUAUUAUGAAGUAGUUAGAAUAUGUAGUGGUAGCGGUGAAAUGCAUAGAUAUUACAUAGAAUACCAAUUGCGAAGGCAGAUUACUAAUAAUCAACUGACACUGAUGGACGAAAGCGUGGGGAGCGAACAGGAUUAGAAACCCUGGUAGUCCACGCCGUAAACGAUGGUCACUAGCUGUCCGAACUUCCGGUUUGAGUGGCUAAGCGAAAGUGAUAAGUGACC